rnacentral:rRNA from 1 species
CGGAGGCAGCAGUAAGGAAUAUUGGACAAUGGGGGCAACCCUGAUCCAGCAAUGCCGCGUGAGUGAUGAAGGCCUUAGGGUUGUAAAGCUCUUUUGCCAGGGAAGAUGAUGACUGUACCUGGAGAAUAAGCCCCGGCUAACUUCGUGCCAGCAGCCGCGGUAAUACGAAGGGGGCUAGCGUUGUUCGGAAUUACUGGGCGUAAAGGGCGCGUAGGCGGCCGUUUAAGUUAGGUGUGAAAGUCCUGGGCUCAACCUGGGGACUGCACUUAAUACUGGAUGGCUUGAAUUCGGGAGAGGAUAGCGGAAUUCCCAGUGUAGAGGUGAAAUUCGUAGAUAUUGGGAAGAACACCGGUGGCGAAGGCGGCUAUCUGGACCGACAUUGACGCUGAGGCGCGAAAGCGUGGGGAGCAAACAGGAUUAGAUACCCCUGUAGUCC